GGUGGCUCAGUGGUAGAGUGCUUGCUUUGUAAGCAUGAGUCCUUGGGUUCAAUCUCAGCACCA
rnacentral:tRNA from 1 species